UAUAACUUUUUAUAUACAAAGAGUUUCCCAUAUGUUAAUCAGCAUCUUUAAAAUGUAUGUAUGUAUUUAUUUUUAAUUUUAGCUGUAUGUGUCUAUAGCGAAAUGAGUCAUGCAGAACUGAAGACAUAUUAAGAAAGCGAAUGGAAAAAAUAUUCUCGAAUUAAUUACAAGUCAUUUGAAUCUUGGUUCCUACUCGAAUAUCUGAGGAUUCAUUUUGAGCAUAGGUACGAUCUUCCAACUCGAAAAACAAAACACUUCAAAUGUGUGAAGAAGGUUUGGGGUCCUGGUUAUGCUGGAAUAAGUAUGUACUAUUACUUGUUCGAUGACUUCUUUAAACAAGUCAAUUACGACGUGAUGAAAGCUAAACAGUAUAAUUUCCAAUUUUGGAAAUACUACUAUGAGGACACAUAUUUGGCAGGUUACACUAGAUGCAUGAAUAUUAAAUAGAUAACUGACAAUUUAUAUUUAUAUACCAAAUAAAGAUCUGUUGCAACAAUAA